rnacentral:rRNA from 1 species
UCGAACCCUGCAAAGCAUAACGACCCGUGAACAUGUAAAAACAAUCGGGCGUCAAUUGGAUUAAGCACUUGUUUGAUCCUCUUGGUGCUUUGUCGAUGUGCACUUUACUAGAGUUUUUUUGGACCUUGUGAGUGUUCCAUUGGCAGCAAUAACAACCCCCAGGCACAAUGUGUGCCAAGGAAAACUAAACUUAAGAAGGCUUGUUUCAUGUUCCUCGUUUGCGGUGUGCUCAUGAGACUUGGCUUCUUUAUAAAUCGCGUCGCCCCCGCAAAUCUUUGUUGGGGGCGGAUAUUGGUCUCCCGUGCUCAUGGUGUGGUUGGCCAAAAUAAGAGUCCCUUCGACGGACGCACUAACUAGUGGUGGUCGUAAAAACCCUCGUUCUUUGUUAUGUGUUGUUAGUUGCAAGGAAACACUCUUCAAAUACCCCAACGUGUUGUCUUAGGAUGAUGCUUCGACCG